GAGAAUGGGCUCAACAAAGGCUAUCAAAGCCCAUUCGGAUGGGGUGCAGUAGCAUCGAGGGAGUGUGCAUGCAGGCCAAAAUUGAUUGGGCUAAAGGCCCAAGUUCUCACCAACAUAAUUAGGUUUUUACAACAGAAACUUCAGAAUCGUACCUUCAAAAUUUUCCCAAAAUGAGCGAUUGUGGUUGUGAGACCUCACAGACCAACUGAAGCCGUCAUGGAGGUUGCGCCGGUGAGGAGCGAUUGAAGGUUGAUUGUGGCCGACGGAGAAAUUGUGGUUUUGUGAGGGUGCUCGUUGGAGGUUUGGAAGGAUUCGUUGGAAGAAGAAGAAGAUGACGCUGAGUUUGAUGCGUCCCGUCUUCAAAUAAGCCUCCUUCUUCUGUUUCGAUUACAGGUUUGAAGAGACUUGAUGUAAUGGAAGGUGGCUGCUACAAGCUUCAAGACAACCUGUUUUCGUGACUAAGUCCAAAGUGAUUUCAUCCUAAUUGCUUGGUUUUGGUCAUUAGGAACCUAUCCCCAUUUGUAGCAAAUUUCACUGUAAUUACAUUGGGUUUUUUUUAAAGACAAAUAUGUGCUUGGAUUAUGUAACUUAUUGAAUUAAAAGUCUAAUAACCAUUAAUAAUUAUGUAUUCAA